rnacentral:misc_RNA from 1 species
UCGGGUAGAGUGAGAUUUGAA